AAACUUUGACUGUUUGCACAUGGUUGCCUUUUAAACUUCCUUGCAGGCACUUUUGUUAUCUAUUUUGCUUCCCCUCGGUCCCAGUGAUUUAUUCCCGGUUCCCUGGGUGUUUAGGGGCCAUGUAGGCUCCAGACAGAGUCCUCUCCCUGGUCUCUAAACAGCAAACACACUCGGAAUAGGCCCACAUGUGUGCAGUUUGUGC
rnacentral:lncRNA from 1 species